GGGUGUAUAGCUCAGCGGUAGAGCACUACGUUGACAUCGUAGGGGUCACAAGUUCGAUCCUUGUUACACCCACCA
rnacentral:tRNA from 1 species